GACGAACGCUGGCGGCGUGCUUAACACAUGCAAGUCGAGCGAUGAAGUUCCUUCGGGAAUGGAUUAGCGGCGGACGGGUGAGUAACACGUGGGUAACCUGCCUCAUAGAGGGGAAUAGCCUUCCGAAAGGAAGAUUAAUACCGCAUAAGAUUGUAGUACCGCAUGGUAUAGCAAUUAAAGGGGGAAUUCGCUAUGGGAUGGACCCGCGUCGCAUUAGCUAGUGGGUGAGGUAACGGCUCACCAAGGCGACGAUGCGUAGCCGACCUGAGAGGGUGAUCGGCCACAUUGGGGCUGAGACACGGCCCAGACUCCUACGGGAGACAGCAGUGGGGAAUAUUGCACAAUGGGGGAAACCCUGAUGCAGCAACGCCGCGUGAGUGAUGACGGUCUUCGGAUUGUAAAGCUCUGUCUUCAGGGACGAUAAUGACGGUACCUGAGGAGGAAGCCACGGCUAACUACGUGCCAGCCGCCGCAGUAA
rnacentral:rRNA from 1 species